rnacentral:rRNA from 1 species
AUGGGAGGAGUUCUCAUGCAGCAUCACCAAAUCUCUCGCACUCCUCUGCGAAAAGCGGCCUUCGCCGGAUCAUUUGCUCUCCAAAGAGAUGUUGCUCUCCAUCGCGCUCCACGGCGGGGUUCUCUGCCGUGCUCAUCUUCCCUGACGGUCAGAGCAGAAGCCAACGGGUCCUCCACUUCAAGAAUGGCGGUCAAGAAGCACAGCAAAGAAGAGCUCAUGGAGUUCUUCGGGGCCAUCCAGGCCGCCAUUGCCAGGGACUCUCCCAAGCCGCCCGGGAGGACGAGGAAGCCGUCGUCGCCGGCUGACACGCUCGAAGAUGCCGGCACGAAGAUGAAACCACACGAGGGACUGCAGCAAGACGGGCAGCCAAAUUUUGAGGGCAUGACGGUGCCCGAGCUGAGGGACUUGGCGAGGGUGAGGGGGAUGAGAGGUUACUCCAAGCUGAAGAAAGGGGAGCUGAUUGAUCGUCUGAGAGGUGCUUGGUCGUCUGAUAAUUAA